rnacentral:rRNA from 1 species
UAAAAUGUAAAAUUAAUUUUAUUAAAUUAUUAUGAGUUAUUAUCUUUAAAGUUAAAAAAUUUGGCGGUAUUUUAGUCUUUUCAGAGGAACCUGUCCUGUAAUUGAUAAUCCACGAUUAGAAUUACUUAGUUUAAAAAUUUGUAUAUCAUUGUAAUUGAAUAUUUUAAAAGAAAAUAAAAUGUUCAAAAUUUUUUAUAAAAAUGUAAAUCAAAUCAAGGUGCAGUUUAUAAUUAAGAAGAGAUGGGUUACAAUAAGGUUAUUUUUAGUUAUUUGAUUUAAAUAUUUUAUAUAAAUUGGAUUUGAAAGUAAUUUAGUUAAUUUAGAUUAAAUGAUUUUAGCUCUAAAAUAUGC